UACGGAGGGGGCUAGCGUUGUUCGGAAUUACUGGGCGUAAAGCGCACGUAGGCGGCUUUGUAAGUUAGAGGUGAAAGCCCGGGGCUCAACCCCGGAAUUGCCUUUAAGACUGCAUCGCUUGAAUCCAGGAGAGGUGAGUGGAAUUCCGAGUGUAGAGGUGAAAUUCGUAGAUAUUCGGAAGAACACCAGUGGCGAAGGCGGCUCACUGGACUGGUAUUGACGCUGAGGUGCGAAAGCGUGGGGAGCAAACAGG
rnacentral:rRNA from 1 species